rnacentral:lncRNA from 1 species
UACAUAUACAAUGAUUUUAAUAUUACUGAGAAAAGCAAACAGGGUGUUUAAGCAAGAACUUGAAAUACUUAACGUACUGGAAUUUGAAAGGAAUGAAACAUUCUAAUGCUAACAUUUUACAGAUAGAUGGUGUUCAUUUCAACAACCUGGGAUUUGAAUUUUUUCCACAAUGUGAGAGAAAUGAUUUUGAAGUGCAUUGCAGAUAUGUAAUUCACACAUGUACUGGAAGAUACUGUAUUCUAAUUGGUGGCACAUUUGUAUCUAUAUUAUCAUAUAACAACAGCGAAGGCUGCUGCAGCUGGGGAAGCUGCUAAAACCGAACGAAGAACAAACCAAAUUGAGCAGGUUUCAGAAGCUAACACAUCCAAUUUAUCAGAAAAAGACUUGAACACAAUUAUAUCAAAUGUUGUUCCUGCUGUCACGCAAGGUAUGUUGUAGGUUUUAAAAGACUUGAAGGUACUACCGCCUGACUAUUCAGAACCAAAACUUCGGAAAAGAACAGAUACCUUUGGAAUC